GGGACAGCACUUGCCUCCAGACUAGAAACACGCCAUUUUCACAUGAAGAGGGAAAAAGAGAGCAGCCAUUGCUGCAGCUGCCAAUACUGAGGUGAUAUUCUAGCUAUUUCUUAGGUAUGGGAUCUAGGAAAAAGGAGUGGCAACACCUAGAGAUAGAUGGCUGUCAGGUGCUAGAACACAUGCAGUUAUGGGAUGGUUUACAUUUGAAGCUUAUUUGCAAUGCAGUGAUGAUAUUUUUAUUUCUAGAAUUGAACAUAUAUAAAUACCAUAGCAAGGAAGCAUGCGAAAACUGCAUUAUUUCAGAAGUGAAAAUGGACAUUUUUUAAGGGAGAAAAAUAAGGUGCAACAAAUUUGUGAUCUAUGUAUUUUGUAUGCUCAUGGUAGAGUAGCAAUAAUUCUGAAGCAGUACCAAUAAACCAAUAGCAAAUUUCUUUGUAGCCUCUCAGUGUUUCUCUUUUGCAGUCUGUUCUUAGUGGGUAUGUAAAACAAUGUGAAUCAUGUCUGUAGCAUAAUCUCUUUACAAGGAUCGAUUUAGAAUUUAGAAAGAGUGAGUAAAUGAAUGUGUAUGUUGUAUUGCUGUAUGGAUGUUCCUAAAAUCUAUGAUAAUUCUUAGAAACAAGAGAAUAAAGGUUUUUAAAGAAUCAUUGCUAAAAAUAAAUGGAAAAAAAUUGUUCUGUUUGCCAGAUCCUGAGCUUCCCAUCCUUUCCCAACUUGUACUCUUUUGUUUGCAACUGAGUUUAUAUAUCAUCACCAUUUCAGACUACAUACUUUUUCUUAAACAUUCACUGCGUACUCAUUUGAAUCAUGAAGAUCAAACAUAACACGGAACAAUUCUUCAAACAGGUAAAGCAAUUUUCCAACAUCUACUGUGCCUGGGAGAAAAAACAAUCUCCAUACAAGGGGAUGCUUUCUUGCUCAGUUUGCCCUUUUGUUUCCUCUAAAUUAAAACAUUCAAAUGGCUAUAGCUUAAAUUAUUUUAAAUGUAGACAUUACUGUGUUCAUUCUGUAUAUGCAAAUUUAAGUGUUAUUAUGUAUGACACUCUUUUUUUCCUCAUUCAGCUGUGGAUAUCAAGUUUUAAAACAUGCUGCCCUGGUAAAAUGGUGUGCUAGCUUUAUAUAUAUAUAUAUAUAUAUUCUAAUCUGACAAUGUUAAAUAAUGAAUGUCAUCUUAAUCUUAUUUGCUUGGCAGAGGCAUGGGGUAGAAACUUGAUAUAGAAUGUAAACAAUGAAGAAAAUUGUUACAUGUUUGAUUACAGUUACAAGAUUACAGGAAUUUAACAGCAGGAUUUUCUUUGUAUUAGAAAUAAUAUUAUUGCAGUUAAUUAUGUAUUUAUCUACUUAUAUAUAGAACUUUUCAACUGAAUGUAUUUAUGAAAUGCAUUAUGGUUCUUUUGUUUCUUGAAAGGUCCAACUUUACUAUAUUAAAAUACGACUUCCAUAAUAUUUCCUGAGCACAAUAAGCAGGACAACAAAACUGCAACAUAAGAUGGUCCAUAUGGAUAUUUGGGGUAGGAGAGGCUUCCAGUGCCCAGAAAGUGCCUUACUCUGUGGAUAAUGUUAUUUAUUGUAACAAAAGAAUUUUCAAAUAAAUAAAGGCAGUAGACAUGAUUGCAUUCACAAAA